rnacentral:rRNA from 1 species
AACGAACGCUGGCGGCAUGCCUAACACAUGCAAGUCGAACGAGACCUUCGGGUCUAGUGGCGCACGGGUGCGUAACGCGUGGGAACCUGCCCUUAGGUUCGGAAUAACUCCCCGAAAGGGGUGCUAAUACCGGAUAAUGUCUUCGGCCCAAAGAUUUAUCGCCUUUGGAGGGGCCCGCGUUGGAUUAGCUAGUUGGUAGGGUAAAAGCCUACCAAGGCGACGAUCCAUAGCUGGUCUGAGAGGAUGAUCAGCCACACUGGGACUGAGACACGGCCCAGACUCCUACGGGAGGCAGCAGUGGGGAAUAUUGGACAAUGGGCGAAAGCCUGAUCCAGCAAUGCCGCGUGAGUGAUGAAGGCCUUAGGGUUGUAAAGCUCUUUUACCCGGGAUGAUAAUGACAGUACCGGGAGAAUAAGCUCCGGCUAACUCCGUG